AACGAACGCUGGCGGCGUGCCUAACACAUGCAAGUCGAGGGAGAAAGCCGCAAGGCGAGUAAACCGGCGAACGGGUGCGUAACACGUGGAUAAUCUACCUCCAUGACUGGGACAACUGGCCGAAAGGCUUGCUAAUACCAGAUAAGCCCACGGGGUCUUUGGACCCUGAGGGAAAAGGUGGCCUCUGCAUGCAAGCUAUCACAGGGAGAUGAGUCCGCGGCCCAUCAGCUAGUUGGCGGGGUAAAGGCCCACCAAGGCAACGACGGGUAGCUGGUCU
rnacentral:rRNA from 1 species